AUCAUCAAAGAGACUGCUCUCAGUGAGUUCACUGUGGAAAGUGUUUUCAGGAUUAAGCACGCCUCCUUUUUACGUCUCCGAUUCUACCUCCCCUGUGAGAUGCUCUUCACCUGCCUCCUCCUCUGACUCCAAUCUAUCAAAGUAAAGAUCUUCAGGAUCAAUGGAUGGAUGAACACCUUUCUGAUUUGAACAGUAUUUAGAGGCUAGAUGGGAAGAGCAAUCAUCAAUGUCUUCUUCAGGACCAGAGACAGCCCUACUGCCCUGAAAACCAUUCAAAUGAAGCCAUGCUCAGAACAUGUCUGCCUUCUUUAUCCCUCCUUCCUGCAGUGAGCCUUGCCUCUUCUGGUCACCAUAUCUAGCUGACAGAGGUGACAGGACUAAGCUAAAGAGAUUUUGCAAUCCCAAAGACUCUUGCUGAAGACUUUGGCUACAUCCUCAGCAGUGUAAGACAAGCCUCUGAGACCUACUAAAAGCCUGGCAGGGCAAAUGUUUCCAGCAUCUCCAACUCAUGGGUUGACAAGAAUAUUAAUUUAAAAACGUGUGCAGUUUCUACCAAGCAAACAGACAAUGCCAACAAUUUGGGUGAAGUUGUGAAAUGGAAGAUGUCUGUUAUAUUGUUCUUCGACUCUCCUUAUUUUAGAUUGUUGUUUCUAAGGUGAAAUCAUCCAGGUCUAUCUGCCUCAAUUGGGUCUAACUAUAUGCUCCAGUGCAGGGAGUUUUCACAAACAUAUUCAGCUUUGCUGUAAUUAGGGGAGCAUGAUGGUGCUGCUGCUGGUUCUGCCACAUAGUGAGCCUGUGCAUCCUUUCCACGGGGCUGUUGUUCUAAAGAAAGAGUGCGGAGAGGACACUGUUCAUUCUGAAAAGGCAUCUGAAAUGAUGAUCUAACACCUGAAACUCUGGGAAAAGUUGUGAUUUCUCAGCUCUAGUGAGAUUGUCUUAUGGGAGAAGUUCUGCACAGUACAAGUUCAAGGAACCUAGUGAUAUGAUUUAGAAGCAAUCCUCCAGGUCAGAGACACUGCUAAAUCAGAAUGUGGCAAGGGAGAAGCUGGAAGAUCUGGAACAGUUAGACCUUUUGUCUACAAAUCAACACUGUGAUCCUCUGCAAUUCAACCUUAACACCAAGCCUACUGUCCAGCCUAGGAGAAAAUGUUCUGAGAGACAGAACUGCUCGGUGCUAGGGCAGGUGUUUGAAGGAUUCUUUGCUGUACUGUGGGUACCUGUCUCAGGGGCAAGACUUCAGCCCUGGUUGCUUGUAUUACCCUGUACACUGGAGAAGUACCUAGGCAAACAAACGCUGAUGGAACAACUCCAGAAAAGAAACUUUGGAAAAGUUCUAAGGGGCCAUGACAGAACUUCUCUGGAUCCUAAAUGUCUGAAAGACUUGGACUGUUACUGAAAGAGCAUGACUUAUGUCCUGGAAUUGAUGAUGCCUUCAUGUAGGAGGAAUAUAAGAGGGCACUAAGGUUAUAGAACAGACGCCGAAAUAGUCACGUCUUCAGUGCUUCCUAGACUCCUACAUUUGCCAUCGUAUGUCUAGUUAGUAUGACUUUUCGUCUUUUUGUAAAAUAGUUUUGUUUAAUACAGAGAUGAUUACAUAAUAAUAGCUAAAAUUACUUGUUCAUAAUAGGUGUUCGAUGA
rnacentral:lncRNA from 1 species